rnacentral:rRNA from 1 species
CAUAGGUUAAUGAGGCGAACCGGGGGAACUGAAACAUCUAAGUACCCCGAGGAAAAGAAAUCAACCGAGAUUCCCCCAGUAGCGGCGAGCGAACGGGGAGGAGCCCAGAGCCUGAAUCAGUGUGUGUGUUAGUGGAAGCGUCUGGAAAGGCGCGCGAUACAGGGUGACAGCCCCGUACACAAAAAUGCACAUACUGUGAGCUCGAUGAGUAGGGCGGGACACGUGGUAUCCUGUCUGAAUAUGGGGGGACCAUCCUCCAAGGCUAAAUACUCCUGACUGACCGAUAGUGAACCAGUACCGUGAGGGAAAGGCGAAAAGAACCCCGGCGAGGGGAGUGAAAAAGAACCUGAAACCGUGUACGUACAAGCAGUGGGAGCCUCUUUAUGGGGUGACUGCGUACCUUUUGUAUAAUGGGUCAGCGACUUAUAUUCUGUAGCAAGGUUAACCGAAUAGGGGAGCCGAAGGGAAACCGAGUCUUAACUGGGCGUUAAGUUGCAGGGUAUAGACCCGAAACCCGGUGAUCUAGCCAUGGGCAGGUUGAAGGUUGGGUAACACUAACUGGAGGACCGAACCGACUAAUGUUGAAAAAUUAGCGGAUGACUUGUGGCUGGGGGUGAAAGGCCAAUCAAACCGGGAGAUAGCUGGUUCUCCCCGAAAGCUAUUUAGGUAGCGCCUCGUGAAUUCAUCUCCGGGGGUAGAGCACUGUUUCGGCAAGGGGGUCAUCCCGACUUACCAACCCGAUGCAAACUGCGAAUACCGGAGAAUGUUAUCACGGGAGACACACGGCGGGUGCUAACGUCCGUCGUGAAGAGGGAAACAACCCAGACCGCCAGCUAAGGUCCCAAAGUCAUGGUUAAGUGGGAAACGAUGUGGGAAGGCCCAGACAGCCAGGAUGUUGGCUUAGAAGCAGCCAUCAUUUAAAGAAAGCGUAAUAGCUCACUGGUCGAGUCGGCCUGCGCGGAAGAUGUAACGGGGCUAAACCAUGCACCGAAGCUGCGGCAGCGACACUAUGUGUUGUUGGGUA